UUAAGUGAUGUAGAUGCUAAGUUAAAAAAGCCAUCGCCGGCCCCUUUAUAUGUGUUUAACCCCGCUUCCACACUAACCUUCAGUCUGUAAGCCGCUCAGCAGGGUCCAUUACAUCUAAGUGUGAAUAAUUCAUGCUCUGGAUGCUGUGGCAUGAAGAAAGAAAGUCAUACAAGUUUGGAACAACAUUAGGAUUCAGAUGCUCUGGCAUCUGGAGGCCAGGAUCUGUAGCAUGUGUUUUGUGUGAGAACGCUGGCCACUUUGCUGGGUGCCCGGCUGAUGCCUCAUCAAAAAUGGUUCUGUUUUUUUUCUCACCCCUUCUUGGAAAGGAUUGCGUGGGUUAACACCGAACGUAGAGAGGCAUCGUGGAGUGGCAGGCACAUAAAAUGGCAAUUAAACUGCGAUGACCCCCGUCGCCUCCGCAGGUCGUUCACUGUCACGGUGUCGGCUGAAAAGAAGAGAAAGGAUGCAAACGAGUGCAUGGCAGUGGAUAUGAUAUGUGUUUCUCCUACAGCUAUAUAACCUGCAAAUCUUACAAACCAGAGCAUCAGACAAUCCCAAACUGUGCCAUCUUACUUAUGUGUACUGACAACAGAGUGUAUCCAGGGAAGCAGGGCAUGUUGGGACGCAAAGGGGCUGUAACAACAUUGCAGACUCGUUCUUAAAUACAGCAACAAGCACUUAGUUUGACAAGGCGCUGACAGAAGCGCACACGACUUGGGCUUAACGUGGUGACAGCCUAAACUGAGGUGUGUUCACUCCCCCGAGGCAGAAGACACUUGAGGAAGAAAAAAAAAAAAAAACAUUGCGAUAUGAGAUGAUGCUAGUUGUGCACAAUAAAUGUUUAUUGGGAUUUAUUGCACUGCUAUGACAUCCUGGCUGAAAGCUUUCAGUUACUAAAUGAGGGAGAAUUAGCUGUUGCAUUUAGAAGCUUUAAAUAGCACUAAGGAAGGAGGGAACACAUGGGCAAGGAAUUACACUAUGUCUGCAUGUCUCAUUUAAAGUCCAUGUAAAAAAAUAUGCAUAUGUGAGCGUAUAUCCAACAGCAUCGAUACAGUAUAAGAAGACCUUCAAAAUUCUGCACUAAUGCCAAAGAAUAGGGGAUUAAUGAAUGAUCCAUGACCUCAUUGGCCUCGAGAGAGUUUUUCAAAGUGACUAAAUGCUCUGGAGCAGAAUGACAGGCACUGGAUGCUUCUGCCAUUUAUUAAAUUAUU